UUUGGUUGUCCUGGGGUAAGCAUGUAGGGCGGAACGUAGGUAAAUCCGCGUUCUAUUCAGCCUGAGAUGUGAUGCCGAGCCGAUUGUGGUGAAGUGGAUGAUCCUAUGCUGCCGAGAAAAGCCUCUAGUGAGUGUUGUGGCGGCCCGUACCCUAAACCGACUCAGGUGGUCAGGUAGAGAAUACCAAGGCGAUCGGGUGAACUGUGGUUAAGGAACUCGGCAAAUUGCCCCCGUAACUUCGGGAGAAGGGGGACCUCUGCUGGUGAUGGGCUUUACGUUCUGAGCUGGUGGGGGUCGCAGUGGCCAGGGGGAAGCGACUGUUUACUAAAAACACAGGUCCGUGCGAAGUCGUAAGACGAUGUAUACGGACUGACGCCUGCCCGGUGCCGGAACGUUAAGGGGACCGCUUAGCCAACGCGAGUUGGCGAAGGUGAGAACUUAAGCGCCGGUAAACGGCGGUGGUAACUAUAACCAUCCUAAGGUAGCGAAAUUCCUUGUCGGGUAAGUUCCGACCUGCACGAAUGGCGUAACGACUUCCCCGCUGUCUCAACCACAGACCCGGCGAAAUUGCACUACGAGUAAAGAUGCUCGUUUCGCGCAGCAGGACGGAAAGACCCCGGGACCUUCACUACAGCUUGACAUUGGCGUUUGGAACGUCUUGUGUAGGAUAGGUGGGAGACUGGGAAGCUGUCACGCUAGUGAUGGUGGAGUCAUUGGUGAAAUACCACUCUGGUCGUUUUGAACGUCUAACUCUGGUCCGUGAUCCGGAUCGGGGACAGUGUCUGGUGGGUAGUUUAACUGGGGCGGUUGCCUCCUAAAGAGUAACGGAGGCGCCCAAAGGUUCCCUCAGCCUGGUUGGCAAUCAGGUGUUGAGUGUAAGUGCACAAGGGAGCUUGACUGUGAGACUGACAGGUCGAGCAGGAGCGAAAGCUGGGACUAGUGAUCCGGCAUCGGCGUGUGGAAGCGGUGUCGCUCAACGGCUAAAAGGUACCCCGGGGAUAACAGGCUGAUCUUCCCCAAGAGUCCAUAUCGACGGGAUGGUUUGGCACCUCGAUGUCGGCUCGUCGCAUCCUGGGGCUGGAGUAGGUCCCAAGGGUUGGGCUGUUCGCCCAUUAAAGCGGUACGCGAGCUGGGUUUAGAACGUCGCGAGACAGUUCGGUCCCUAUCCGCUGCGCGCGCAGGAGACUUGAAGGGGGCUGUCCCUAGUACGAGAGGACCGGGACGGACGAACCUCUGGUGUGCCAGUUGUACCGCCAGGUGCACGGCUGGUUGGCUACGUUCGGAAGGGAUAACCGCUGAAAGCAUCUAAGCGGGAAGCUCGCCUUGAGAUGAGGUCUCCCACCCCGUGAGGGGGUAAGGCUCCCGGUAGAUCACCGGGUUGAUAGGCCGGAGGUGGAAGCACGGUAACGUGUGGAGCUGACCGGUACUAAUAGGCCGAGGACUUGACC
rnacentral:rRNA from 1 species